AAAAAAAAAAAAAUCAAUUGAAUUAAAUUCUUACAAAAUUAUAAUUUUCAAACAGGGGCUUGAGAUGUUUUUUGUUCACAAUAUUGUUUGAAAAUGUAUUGAUCAGACCUUGAUGAACUAUUUUGAGGGGAUAAAGAAAGAGAAACAGGAACCUUUUUAUCCAUGAUAUCUUCCACAAGUGAAACCAAACAAGGGAUGGGUGAAGCAGUCAAAUCUCAGCUUUUUGCACAAAUCCCAAAGGGCACAUCUGAUAAGCAACAGUAAUUAUCGCCAAGUUGAUCUUGUAGAAGUCUACAACAUGUUAACCUCAAAGUUAAGGAGCUGGAUUUCAAUCCCCAGAAAAGUGAAGGAUAAACGAUGAAAGUUGCACAAAAUUGGCCAUGUUAUCUACCAUGCUUCAAAUACAUUUAACGUAGGAAUCUGAAGGCUCAAGCUAAAUAACUGAACAUCACUCAUCUUAUGCUAAGAUCAGCCAGUAACCUUGUUGCAUUGGUGGAGACUGGAUGUAUGAAUUCAACUCUAUCGUAUGGAUCACAGGAGGUUUAAAGACAGCAGUACUGGAUGGCUAAAAAAUUUUGGAGGCAGUGAAAUUCCCACAUCAUUAAGAGAUGUUCUCAAGAAACAGGAAAUCUUUCCUGAAAAGAUGUAAAAUUGCAUUACAAAAAUAUAAUGUACAGAAUAUUCAUGACAGAGACAAAAACAAGAAAAGAGACAAUUAUGCUGCAUUUCAUUUACAUGUUUUCAAGCUGCAAGUCCAGACCUAAUCCAAGAGUCAAGAUCAACAAUCUGCAACUUAAUUCACUCAGUGGACAAACUGCAUGCAGCUAGCCCAUGUGAGAAGAAGAACCUAGUUAUGUUCUCAGGAUCUUAUGAAAGCAGAGAGACGAGAGAGACAAACUCCAGUGUUACACGACCCUUGGACCUCGUGUUGAUGACAAAAUGCUCUGGGUAUUUUCUCAACAACAUAAGCAAGCCAUACCAGGGUUUCCCUUUGGAUUCAGGACCAGGCCAGUCCUCAGAUGUGAGAUAUCUCCUCACCCGAGUAUGAUGCCAGACAUUGCUAAAUUGCUCCACCAACUCAGCAUGGAGUUUCUCCAUGGGCAUCCAUUCUCCAGGACCACAAAGAUCAGACAGCACAGUAGCAACAGAUGAUACUACAUCUUUUUCUUCCAACUGCAUAAGUUGGUGAUUGUCAGAAUCACGAUCAACCCUUGAUCUUCCAUCUAUUUUCUUCUCUGCAGGAACUAAUGCUCCAGCCAAUCCCACUUUACCACCGGAGCCACCACCUGCACUGUAGCCGUACCCCUCAAAACCCUCUCUCCUCACCUUCUUUCCACCAUUACCACCGCCACCACCAAUCUCCUCUUCAUCAUCGUGCUCAUCCUCGUAAAAUUCUCUUCUCCCUUUCUUAACUGCCGCCACGGCCACAGCCCCCGACAUCCUCUCCGCCCCAGAGGAAUGAUAACCGUACUGAGGCAUCACCGCCACAUGAUGCCUGGGUCCAAGAUGGCCGCCUAGAAUACUCCUCACGGGAAGCAGAAAAUAAAACUCCUUAUCCCCAAUUUGCAACAGAUCUUGGGAAUCAAGCUUGACAGGAGGGUUACCAGGGAGAUGGAGGACACCUUCGACCAAGCAGCCGUUUUUACCAAGAACCUCUAGGGCAAAACGUCGGCGCGUGAAAUCGUAAAAGAUGCGAGCGUGGUGACGGGAGAUGUUCAUACCGCCACCAAGGCUGGAGAGGUCGACAUCGACGGUGGAUUUCUUGGAAUUGCGGCCCAACAUUAUGGAGUAUGUUUGCAUGUAGUACUCAAAAUCCUCGCCUUGCAGCUUUGCAAAGCCGGCUUCGACGUCGCUGCCUGCAGUCCCCAUGGUGCGUCCGGAGAAAUUGGGAUUGAACUUUAC
rnacentral:misc_RNA from 1 species